AAAUUGAAGAGUUUGAUCAUGGCUCAGAUUGAACGCUGGCGGCAGGCCUAACACAUGCAAGUCGAGCGGCAGCGGGAAAGUAGCUUGCUACUUUUGCCGGCGAGCGGCGGACGGGUGAGUAAUGCCUGGGGAUCUGCCCAGUCGAGGGGGAUAACUACUGGAAACGGUAGCUAAUACCGCAUACGCCCUACGGGGGAAAGCAGGGGACCUUCGGGCCUUGCGCGAUUGGAUGAACCCAGGUGGGAUUAGCUAGUUGGUGAGGUAAUGGCUCACCAAGGCGACGAUCCCUAGCUGGUCUGAGAGGAUGAUCAGCCA
rnacentral:rRNA from 1 species